GAUUUCUGACUUGGCGCACCUGGCCCGCCACGGUUACGUGUGUGAGUGCCGGGAUGCGCCUGUCACUUUUCUGGUAAACUAUUGUGCCCUUCAUUGGGUAUGAUAGGUAGCCAGAUAUUUUACUUUGAAAAAAUUAGAGUGUUUAAAGCAGGCGUUGCAAGCUAUGAAUACAUUAGCAUGGAAUAAUAAGUUAGGACUUCGGUUCUAUUUUGUUGGUUUCUAGGACCGAAGUAAUGAUUGAUAGGGAUAGUUGGGGGUGCUAGUAUUCAGCGGCCAGAGGUGAAAUUCUCGGAUUCGCUGAAGACUAACUUAUGCGAAAGCAUU
rnacentral:rRNA from 1 species